rnacentral:rRNA from 1 species
GAUGAACGCUGGCGGCGUGCUUAACACAUGCAAGUCGAACGGAAAGGCCCAAGCUUGCUUGGGUACUCGAGUGGCGAACGGGUGAGUAACACGUGGGUGAUCUGCCCCGCACUUCGGGAUAAGCCUGGGAAACUGGGUCUAAUACCGGAUAGGACCACUUCUUGGAGGUUGUGGUGGAAAGUUUUUUCGGUGUGGGAUGAGCUCGCGGCCUAUCAGCUUGUUGGUGGGGUAAUGGCCUACCAAGGCGUCGACGGGUAGCCGGCCUGAGAGGGUGUACGGCCACAUUGGGACUGAGAUACGGCCCAGACUCCUACGGGAGGCAGCAGUGGGGAAUAUUGCACAAUGGGCGCAAGCCUGAUGCAGCGACGCCGCGUGGGGGAUGACGGCCUUCGGGUUGUAAACUCCUUUCGCUAGGGACGAAGCGCAAGUGACGGUACCUAGAGAAGAAGCACCGGCUAACUACGG